GUUUCUGUGUGUAGAGGUUAUCACAUCUGCCUAACACGCAGAAGGUCUCCGGUUCGAUCCGGGACAGAAACA
rnacentral:tRNA from 1 species